rnacentral:rRNA from 1 species
CGGCCGUGUAAGUCCGCUGUGAAAUCCAGGCGCUUAACGUCUGGGCGUGCAGCGGAUACUGCACUGGCUAGGGACCGGACGGUGUCGAGGCUAUUCCAGGAGUAGGGGUGAAAUCCUAAAAUUCCUGGAGGAGCGCCUGUGGCGGAAGCGCUCGACAAGUACGGAUCCGACGGUGAGGAACGAAAGCCAGGGGAGCAAAGCGGAUUAGAUACCCGCGUAGUCCUGGCCGUUAACAUUGCCUGUUUGAUGUCAGCCAACCUUCGGGGUUGGCUGGUGCCGAAGUGAAAACGUUAAACAGGCCGCCUGGGUA